GGAGCUGAUAUCAGGCGCGCCCAAGACAUCUAGCCAUGCCACACCCACAAGGGUCCACAGCAGUGAUUAACCUUAAAUAUUAACGCAAGUUUGAUUUAGUCAAUGAGAAGAGAGCCGGCAAAUCUGGUGCCAGCCGCCGCGGCUAUACCAUGAGGCUUAAAUUGAUUCGGCGUAAAGCGUGAUUAAAGUAGGGUUAAACUUAAACUAAUUGUUAAAAAUAUAAACUUAAAGGAAACCCAUUAUCCGAAAGAUACCCUAACUUAACCACUUGAACUCACGACAGCUAGGAUACAAACUGGGAUUAGAUACCCCACUAUGCCUAGCCGUAAACUUUUACUUACACCGCCAGGAAAUUACGAGCUAAGCUUAAAACCCAAAGGACUUGACGGUGCCCCACAUCCCCCUAGAGGAGCCUGUCCUAUAAUCGACAAUCCCCGUUUAACCUCACCAUUUCUAGCAGCCUGUAUACUUCCGUCGUCAGCUUACCACGUGAGUGAGUCAGCUUAAUGACAAAACGUCAGGUCAAAGUGCAGUUAAUGAAAUGGGAAGAGAUGGGCUACACUUUCUACUAUAGAAGAAACAGAAAACUAAUUGAAAAAGAAGGUGGAUUUAGUAGUAAAAGAGGGAUAGAGUACCCCUUUUAACCCGCACUGGGGCGUGUACACACCGCCCGUCACCCUCUUC
rnacentral:rRNA from 1 species